AGCGAACGCUGGCGGCAGGCCUAACACAUGCAAGUCGAACGAAGUCUUCGGACUUAGUGGCGGACGGGUGAGUAACACGUGGGAACGUGCCUUUAGGUUCGGAAUAACUCAGGGAAACUUGUGCUAAUACCGAAUGUGCCCUUCGGGGGAAAGAUUUAUCGCCUUUAGAGCGGCCCGCGUCUGAUUAGCUAGUUGGUGGGGUAAAGGCUCACCAAGGCUACGAUCAGUAGCUGGUCUGAGAGGAUGCCCAGCCACAUUGGGACUGAGACACGGCCCAAACUCCUACGGGAGGCAGCAGUGGGGAAUAUUGCGCAAUGGGCGAAAGCCUGACGCAGCCAUGCCGCGUGGAUGAUGAAGGUCUUAGGAUUGUAAAAUCCUUUCACCGGUGAAGAUAAUGACGGUAGCCGGAGAAGAAGCCCCGGCCAACCUCGUGCCAGCCGCCGCCGUAACAC
rnacentral:rRNA from 1 species